GACGAAGGUGGCGAGCGUUGUUCGGAAUCAUUGGGCUUAAAGGGUGCGUAGGCGGCUCAUCAAGUGUCUUGUGAAAUCCCUCGGCUUAACCGAGGAAUUGCUGGGCAUACUGUUGAGCUUGAGGCAGGUAUGAGCGAGUGGAACUCUUGGUGGAGCGGUGGAAUGCGUAGAUAUCAAGAGGAACGCCGGUGGUGAAGACGAUUCGCUGGGCCUGUCCUGACGCUGAGGCACGAAAGCCAGGGGAGCAAACGGG
rnacentral:rRNA from 1 species